AUGUUUACUCUUGACAUAUUAUUAUGUGACAUUAUGAAACUCAUAUAUCAUUAAUAAUCAUAUAUACCCAUUUAUUGUGACAAAUUACAACAUUAUUGUAUUACAAUGAGGAAAGCCUUAUAACUAGACUAUCUCCAUUACUUAUUCACUAUAUAUCACUCCAUUUAUUUCGAACUCCUUUUUAAUUUGAUCAUAUAAUCAAAUGGCUUCGAUCAAGGGCAGAAUAUAACGUCGUAGUUGGUUCCACCAGGGCACGUAAAUGUGCUAGUUUGAUCAUCCUGAGGAUAACUAUAAGCAUCGGGGCAUCUCUGUUUGAAAAACCUUGAUAAAUCAGUUGGCCCACAAGGUCCAUUGUUACAACAAUACUGUUCAGUUUUGUACACGGUGCAAGGGUUAUUGCACCCGCCAGGAGCCCGUAACUCAGCAGGACACUGGCCAUUGAUAUCCGCGGUACAGGAGAUACCACGGGUGCACCCAUUAGAAUUGGGUCUAAAUACCAUCGGCACGUUGAAUCCGUCCACAAGAGAAAUGUCAAAGAAAUCAAGAUUGUUGAACUGAUUCAAAGCGUACUCGGCCAGUGUGUUGGGUGGGGUACCAUAGUUUUGGCAUUGGAGGAGACCGUUGCAAUCACCGGUUUGACACCUGCCACGCCCGGAGCCAUCAAAGUUGCAACCGGUUCGGGGCCAUAUACGGGCUCCUGCUGUGCCAGCUGCGACGGUUAAAGACCAGGUUUGGCCUGAGUUAAGUUGUCGGCCGCCACCAGGCACCGCACCAGCCCAAACGGUGUAUGGACAGUUGUUUCGAAUAGUGAACACGGCUGCAUUGGUAGAGUGAAAAAGAAUAGCCAAGAGAAGGAAAGUGGGAAGGGUGGAGGUUGUCAUUGUGGUUUUGG
rnacentral:lncRNA from 1 species